UACGGGGGGGGGCAAGCGUUGUUCGGAAUUACUGGGCGUAAAGGGCUUGUAGGCGGCCAACUAAGUCCGACGUGAAAUCCCCAGGCUUAACCUGGGAACUGCGUCGGAUACUGGAUGGCUUGAAUUCGGGAGAGGGAUGCAGAAUUCCAGGUGUAGCGGUGAAAUGCGUAGAUAUCUGGAGGAAUACCGGUGGCGAAGGCGGCAUCCUGGACCGACACUGACGCUGAGGCGCGAAAGCGUGGGGAGCAAACAGG
rnacentral:rRNA from 1 species